rnacentral:misc_RNA from 1 species
GUCUGUGCACCCGGAUAGCCCUGGGCUUCGUAUCGAGGCUGAGUAUUGUACCCGGGACCAGUUUGUGGACCUGUAUAACUCUGCGCUUCAUUCCUUGGUUCAGUACUGUACCCGGGAGCAGCUGGACUAGGAUACCCUUGAGCUUCAUAUCUAGCUCCACCACCAUAAGCAGCAGCAGAGUUUGGAUAACCUUGACCUUCUUGUCUU